GACGAACGCGGGCGGCGUGCCUAAUACAUGCAAGUCGAGCGAGCGGAACUAACAGAUUUACUUCGGUAAUGACGUUAGGAAAGCGAGCGGCGGAUGGGUGAGUAACACGUGGGGAACCUGCCCCAUAGUCUGGGAUACCACUUGGAAACAGGUGCUAAUACCGGAUAAGAAAGCAGAUCGCAUGAUCAGCUUUUAAAAGGCGGCGUAAGCUGUCGCUAUGGGAUGGCCCCGCGGUGCAUUAGCUAGUUGGUAAGGUAAAGGCUUACCAAGGCGAUGAUGCAUAGCCGAGUUGAGAGACUGAUCGGCCACAUUGGGACUGAGACACGGCCCAAACUCCUACGGGAGGCAGCAGUAGGGAAUCUUCCACAAUGGACGCAAGUCUGAUGGAGCAACGCCGCGUGAGUGAAGAAGGUUUUCGGAUCGUAAAGCUCUGUUGUUGGUGAAGAAGGAUAGAGGUAGUAACUGGCCUUUAUUUGACGGUAAUCAACCAGAAAGUCACGGCUAACUACGUGCCAGCAGCCGCGGUAAUACGUAGGUGGCAAGCGUUGUCCGGAUUUAUUGGGCGUAAAGCGAGCGCAGGCGGAAGAAUAAGUCUGAUGUGAAAGCCCUCGGCUUAACCGAGGAACUGCAUCGGAAACUGUUUUUCUUGAGUGCAGAAGAGGAGAGUGGAACUCCAUGUGUAGCGGUGGAAUGCGUAGAUAUAUGGAAGAACACCAGUGGCGAAGGCGGCUCUCUGGUCUGCAACUGACGCUGAGGCUCGAAAGCAUGGGUAGCGAACAGG
rnacentral:rRNA from 1 species